rnacentral:rRNA from 1 species
UACGGGGGGAGCAAGCGUUGUCCGGAUUUACUGGGCGUAAAGAGCGCGCAGGCGGUCGGUCAAGUCGAGUGUGAAAGCCCCCGGCUCAACUGGGGAGGGUCAUUCGAUACUGAUCGACUCGAAGGCAGGAGAGGGUAGUGGAAUUCCCGGUGUAGUGGUGAAAUGCGUAGAGAUCGGGAGGAAGGCCGGUGGCGAAGGCGGCGCUCUGGAACAUUUCUGACGCUGAGGCUCGAAAGCGUGGGGAGCAAACAGG